rnacentral:lncRNA from 1 species
GUGUGAGGUGGUGCUAUGUAGCAGGAACCCCUCUUGCUUUGCAAAUAGUUUUUUGUUUGUUUUCCUUUUUGCCCAAUAGAGCCCUGCUCUACUGACCCUUCAAUGUGCCCGUGUGCCUAAAUAUUCCUGGUCGUGUGAAAAGAACCCAGGUAUUAGCUGAACUAAGGAGCACAAUUCUGCAACAUUUUGGCACCCAAACACGGGGCUUGAGAAAUGAAUGCAAUUGGAGAAACUGGUUGUUUUACCAGGCGUUGAUUGGAAAUGUGUGCUUCCCUUUAAGCAGUCAAGCUCAACUUGCAGAACUGAUGGGAACCCCUUGGGAAAACUGGCCUCAAAUGUUUGUCUACACAGUCCACAUACAGGGUUCUUAACCUGCGACUGACCCUGCUUGUGCCUGUGAACCAACCAACAAUCUCUGGCUGCAGCUCAGAAAGGACAAAAGAGAAUGGAUGAGGGAAACUUCCCAGGGCUUGUCUGGGUAUGCCCACAGUGGACUGGAGCCCAAAAUGCACACUGGAGGAAGUGGAUGGAGCCACGUGGAUGUCAUGCCUUAUGCAGGGGAGGAGCCUGCUCUCUUCAGCUCCUGUGGUAAUGUGGGAAUCGAUCUGUGAGGAAACACUUUCUGAAAAUGUCAGAACUCUUGAAAACAUGGAUGAGGAAAAGCAUAAGUACUGCUUUAUGCUUUUCUUAUGAAUUUUAAAAGAUGUAAUUUAAAGAUUGAAACUCCCACAACUUUGGCAGACCAACUCCUCAGAAAACAUUAUUCUUUGACAUCAAUAUGUUUUGCACAAAAUUGAAUGGCAAGUGAAAGGCAUCAAAUGAUGGAGUCUUGUUCUGUGGUCCAGGCUAGAGGGCAGUGGCAUGAUCUCGGCUCACUACAAGCUCUGCCUCCCGGGUUCACGCCAUUCUCCUGCCUCAGCCUCCUGAGUAGCUGGGACUACAGGCGCCCGCCACCACGCCUGGCUAAUUUUUUGUAUAUUUACUAGAGAUGGCUAGUGUUAGCCAAGAUGGUCUCGAUCUCCUGACCUCGUGAUCUGCCCACCUCAGCCUGCCAAAGUGCUGGGAUUACUGGCGUGAGCCACCGUGCCUGGCCAGCAUCCUCUAAUUAUUAUUCAUAGUUUGUGAAUUUAGGCCUACGUGAAUAAUAAUAUAAUAUUUACUAUGAUGUUACUAUCUACCAACCUUAUUUUUCUUUUCUAUAAAAUAGGAGCCAAAAUAAUAUUUAUGUCAUACCUUAUGAAGUUAAAAUAAAAUAUAACGAAUGAGGGGCUUAA